UACGUAGGGGGCAAGCGUUGUCCGGAUUUACUGGGCGUAAAGAGCGUGUAGGCGGCCAAGCAGGUCCGCUGUGAAAACUCGAGGCUCAACCUCGAGAUGUCGGCGGAAACUGUCUGGCUAGAGUCCGGAAGAGGAGAGUGGAAUUCCUGGUGUAGCGGUGAAAUGCGCAGAUAUCAGGAAGAACACCUAUGGCGAAGGCAGCUCUCUGGGACGGUACUGACGCUGAGACGCGAAAGCGUGGGGAGCGAACAGG
rnacentral:rRNA from 1 species